GAUGAACGCUGGCGGCGUGCCUAAUACAUGCAAGUCGAGCGAACAGACGAGGAGCUUGCUCCUCUGACGUUAGCGGCGGACGGGUGAGUAACACGUGGAUAACCUACCUAUAAGACUGGGAUAACUUCGGGAAACCGGAGCUAAUACCGGAUAAUAUAUUGAACCGCAUGGUUCAAUAGUGAAAGACGGUUUUGCUGUCACUUAUAGAUGGAUCCGCGCCGCAUUAGCUAGUUGGUAAGGUAACGGCUUACCAAGGCAACGAUGCGUAGCCGACCUGAGAGGGUGAUCGGCCACACUGGAACUGAGACACGGUCCAGACUCCUACGGGAGGCAGCAGUAGGGAAUCUUCCGCAAUGGGCGAAAGCUUGACGGAGCAACGCCGCGUGAGUGAUGAAGGUCUUCGGAUCGUAAAACUCUGUUAUUAGGGAAGAACAAAUGUGUAAGUAACUAUGCACGUCUUGACGGUACCUAAUCAGAAAGCCACGGCGAACUACG
rnacentral:rRNA from 1 species